UACGGGGGGGGCAAGCGUUGUUCGGAAUUACUGGGCGUAAAGGGCUCGUAGGCGGCCAACUAAGUCAUACGUGAAAUCCCUCGGCUUAACCGGGGAACUGCGUCUGAUACUGGAUGGCUUGAGUUCGGGAGAGGGAUGCGGAAUUCCAGGUGUAGCGGUGAAAUGCAUAGAUAUCUGGAGGAACACCGGUGGCGAAGGCGGCAUCCUGGACCGAUACUGACGCUGAGGAGCGAAAGCCAGGGGAGCAAACGGG
rnacentral:rRNA from 1 species